rnacentral:rRNA from 1 species
AGAAAGUGGAAGCCAAUCCAUGAGUAAAGUGGCGACCGGGUGAGUAACACGUGACUAACCUACCUUCGAGUGGGGGAUAACCUCGGGAAACCGGGGCUAAUACCGCAUAAUGCCUACGGGUUAAAGGAGCAAUUCGCUUGAAGAGGGGGUCGCGGCUGAUUAGCUAGUUGGCGGGGUAACGGCCCACCAAGGCGAUGAUCGGUAGCCGGCCUGAGAGGGCGCACGGCCACACUGGAACUGAAACACGGUCCAGACUCCUACGGGAGGCAGCAGUGGGGAAUUUUGCGCAAUGGGGGAAACCCUGACGCAGCAACGCCGCGUGGAGGAUGAAGUCCCUUGGGACGUAAACUCCUUUCGACCGGGACGAUAAUGACGGUACCGGUGGAAGAAGCCCCGGCUAACUUCGUGCCAGCAGCCGCGGUAAUACGAGGGGGGCAAGCGUUGUUCGGAAUUAUUGGGCGUAAAGAGUGCGUAGGCGGUGCUCUAAGUCUGUCGUGAAAUCUCCCGGCUUAACUGGGAGGGUGCGGCGGAGACUGGAGUGCUAGAGUGUGGGAGAGGUAAGCGGAAUUCCUGGUGUAGCGGUGAAAUGCGUAGAUAUCAGGAGGAACACCUGUGGUGUAGACAGCUUACUGGACCACGACUGACGCUGAGGCACGAAAGCGUGGGUAGCAAACAGGAUUAGAUACCCUGGUAGUCCACGCCCUAAACGAUGCAUACUUGGUGUGAGCGAUUCAUUUCGUUCGUGCCCGAGCUAACGCGUUAAG